GAUGAACGCUGGCGGCGUGCCUAAUACAUGCAAGUCGAGCGAACAGACGAGGAGCUUGCUCCUCUGACGUUAGCGGCGGACGGGUGAGUAACACGUGGAUAACCUACCUAUAAGACUGGGAUAACUACGGGAAACCGGAGCUAAUACCGGAUAAUAUAUUGAACCGCAUGGUUCAAUAGUGAAAGACGGUUUUGCUGUCACUUAUAGAUGGAUCCGCGCCGCAUUAGCUAGUUGGUAAGGUAACGGCUUACCAAGGCAACGAUGCGUAGCCGACCUGAGAGGGUGAUCGGCCACACUGGAACUGAGACACGGUCCAGACUCCUACGGGAGGCAGCAGUAGGGAAUCUUCCGCAAUGGGCGAAAGCUUGACGGAGCAACGCCGCGUGAGUGAUGAAGGUCUUCGGAUCGUAAAACUCUGUUAUUAGGGAAGAACAAAUGUGUAAGUAACUAUGCACGUCUUGACGGUACCUAAUCAGAAAGCCACGGCUAACUACGUG
rnacentral:rRNA from 1 species